rnacentral:rRNA from 1 species
GACGAACGCUGGCGGCGUGCUUAACACAUGCAAGUCGAACGGAAAGGCCCUGCUUUUGUGGGGCGCUCGAGUGGCGAACGGGUGAGUAACACGUGAGUAACCUGCCCUUGACUUUGGGAUAACUUCAGGAAACUGGGGCUAAUACCGGAUAGGAGCUCCUGCUGCAUGGUGGGGGUUGGAAAGUUUCGGCGGUUGGGGAUGGACUCGCGGCUUAUCAGCUUGUUGGUGGGGUAGUGGCUUACCAAGGCUUUGACGGGUAGCCGGCCUGAGAGGGUGACCGGCCACAUUGGGACUGAGAUACGGCCCAGACUCCUACGGGAGGCAGCAGUGGGGAAUAUUGCACAAUGGGCGGAAGCCUGAUGCAGCAACGCCGCGUGCGGGAUGACGGCCUUCGGGUUGUAAACCGCUUUCGCCUGUGACGAAGCGUGAGUGACGGUAAUGGGUAAAGAAGCACCGGCUAACUACGUGCCAGCAGCCGCGGUGAUACGUAGGGUGCGAGCGUUGUCCGGAUUUAUUGGGCGUAAAGGGCUCGUAGGUGGUUGAUCGCGUCGGAAGUGUAAUCUUGGGGCUUAACCCUGAGCGUGCUUUCGAUACGGGUUGACUUGAGGAAGGUAGGGGAGAAUGGAAUUCCUGGUGGAGCGGUGGAAUGCGCAGAUAUCAGGAGGAACACCAGUGGCGAAGGCGGUUCUCUGGGCCUUUCCUGACGCUGAGGAGCGAAAGCGUGGGGAGCGAACAGGCUUAGAUACCCUGGUAGUCCACGCUGUAAACGGUGGGUACUAGGUGUGGGGUCCAUUCCACGGGUUCCGUGCCGUAGCUAACGCUUUAAGUACCCCGCCUGGGGAGUACGGCCGCAAGGCUAAAACUCAAAGGAAUUAACGGGGCCCCGCACAAGCGGCGGAGCAUGCGGAUUAAUUCGAUGCAACGCGUAGAACCUUACCUGGGUUUGACAUGGAUCGGGAGUGCUCAGAGAUGGGUGUGCCUCUUUUGGGGUCGGUUCACAGGUGGUGCAUGGCUGUCGUCAGCUCGUGUCGUGAGAUGUUGGGUUAAGUCCCGCAACGAGCGCAACCCUUGUUCACUGUUGCCAGCACGUUAUGGUGGGGACUCAGUGGAGACCGCCGGGGUCAACUCGGAGGAAGGUGGGGAUGACGUCAAGUCAUCAUGCCCCCUAUGUCCAGGGCUUCACGCAUGCUACAAUGGCUGGUACAGAGAGUGGCGAGCCUGUGAGGGUGAGCGAAUCUCGGAAAGCCGGUCUCAGUUCGGAUUGGGGUCUGCAACUCGACCUCAUGAAGUCGGAGUCGCUAGUAAUCGCAGAUCAGCAACGCUGCGGUGAAUACGUUCCCGGG